rnacentral:snRNA from 1 species
GAGGUUUUGGUAGCACACAUACAAAAAUUGUAAUGUGACAGAAAAUAUUAGAAUAGUCCCGGUGCAAGGAUGGCAUCUGUGAAACAUUUUAUUUUUUU